rnacentral:rRNA from 1 species
UGGGGAAUUUUGGACAAUGGGCGAAAGCCUGAUCCAGCAAUGCCGCGUGUGUGAAGAAGGCCUUCGGGUUGUAAAGCACUUUUGUCCGGAAAGAAAUCCUUGGCUCUAAUACAGUCGGGGGAUGACGGUACCGGAAGAAUAAGCACCGGCUAACUACGUGCCAGCAGCCGCGGUAAUACGUAGGGUGCAAGCGUUAAUCGGAAUUACUGGGCGUAAAGCGUGCGCAGGCGGUUUGCUAAGACCGAUGUGAAAUCCCCGGGCUCAACCUGGGAACUGCAUUGGUGACUGGCAGGCUAGAGUAUGGCAGAGGGGGGUAGAAUUCCACGUGUAGCAGUGAAAUGCGUAGAGAUGUGGAGGAAUACCGAUGGCGAAGGCAGCCCCCUGGGCCAAAUACUGACGCUCAUGCACGAAAGCGUGGGGAGCAAAACAGGAUUAGAUACCCCUGGGUAGUCCACGCCCUAAACGAUGUCAACUAGUUGUUGGGGAUUCAUUUCCUUAGUAACGUAGCUAACGCGUGAAGUUGACCGCCUGGGGAGUACGGUCGCAAGAUUAAAACUCAAAUGAAUUGACGGGGUCAUA